rnacentral:rRNA from 1 species
AACGAACGCUGGCGGCAUGCCUAACACAUGCAGGUCGAACGAGACCUUCGGGUCUAGUGGCGCACGGGUGCGUAACGCGUGGGAACCUGCCCUUAGGUUCGGAAUAACUCCCCGAAAGGGGUGCUAAUACCGGAUAAUGUCUUCGGACCAAAGAUUUAUCGCCUUUGGAUGGGCCCGCGUUGGAUUAGCUAGUUGGUAGGGUAAAAGCCUACCAAGGCGACGAUCCAUAGCUGGUCUGAGAGGAUGAUCAGCCACACUGGGACUGAGACACGGCCCAGAAUCCUACGGGAGGCAGCAGUGGGGAAUAUUGGACGAUGGGCGAAAGCCUGAUCCAGCAAUGCCGCGUGAGUGAUGAAGGCCUUAGGGUUGUAAAGCUCUUUUACCCGGGAUGAUAAUGACAGUACCGGGAGAAUAAGCUCCGGCUAACUACGUG